UACAGAGGGUGCGAGCGUUAAUCGGAUUUACUGGGCGUAAAGCGUGUGUAGGUGGUCAGGAAAGUCGGUUGUGAAAUCCCCGGGCUUAACUCGGGAACUGCUUCCGAUACUUCUUGACUAGAAUUCGGUAGAGGGAGGCGGAACUCCAGGUGUAGCGGUGAAAUGCGUAGAUAUCUGGAAGAACACCAAUGGCGAAGGCAACCUCCUGGGCCUGAAUUGACACUGAGACACGAAAGCGUGGGGAUCAAACAGG
rnacentral:rRNA from 1 species